GUGUCUGUAGCUCAGCAGUAUAAGAGCAGUCAUUCCGGUAUCAGAUGUUCAUGGGUUUGAAUCCCAUCAGAGACA
rnacentral:tRNA from 1 species